rnacentral:rRNA from 1 species
AUUGAACGCUGGCGGCAGGCCUAACACAUGCAAGUCGAACGGUAACAGGAAGCAGCUUGCUGCUUCGCUGACGAGUGGCGGACGGGUGAGUAAUGUCUGGGAAACUGCCUGAUGGAGGGGGAUAACUACUGGAAACGGUAGCUAAUACCGCAUAACGUCGCAAGACCAAAGAGGGGGACCUUAGGGCCUCUUGCCAUUGGAUGUGCCCAGAUGGGAUUAGCUAGUAGGUGGGGUAACGGCUCACCUAGGCGACGAUCCCUAGCUGGUCUGAGAGGAUGACCAGCCACACUGGAACUGAGACACGGUCCAGACUCCUACGGGAGGCAGCAGUGGGGAAUAUUGCACAAUGGGCGCAAGCCUGAUGCAGCCAUGCCGCGUGUAUGAAGAAGGCCUUCGGGUUGUAAAGUACUUUCAGCGGGGAGGAAGGGAGUAAAGUUAAUACCUUUGCUCAUUGACGUUACCCGCAGAAGAAGCGCCGGCUAACUCCGUG